AUAUCAAUAAGCGGAGGAAAAGAAACCAACUGGGAUUGCCUUAGUAACGGCGAGUGAAGCGGCAAUAGCUCAAAUUUGAAAGCUGGCUCCUUCGGAGUCCGCGUUGUAAUUUGUAGAGGAUGCUUCGGCGAGGGCUCCCGCCUAAGUCCCCUGGAACGGGGCGUCAUAGAGGGUGAGAAUCCCGUAUGCGGUGGGUUGCCUUAGCCAUGUGAAGCUCCUUCGACGAGUCGAGUUGUUUGGGAAUGCAGCUCUAAAUGGGAGGUAAAUUUCUUCUAAAGCUAAAUACCGGCCAGAGACCGAUAGCGCACAAGUAGAGUGAUCGAAAGAUGAAAAGCACUUUGGAAAGAGAGUUAAAAAGUACGUGAAAUUGUUGAAAGGGAAGCGCUUGCAGCCAGACUUGUCCGCAGUUGCUCAGCCGGUCUCCUGACCGGCGUACUCUUCUGCGGCCAGGCCAGCAUCAGUUCGGGCGGUCGGAUAAAGGUUCUGGGAAUGUGGCUCCUCUCGGGGAGUGUUAUAGCCCAGUUCGCAAUGCGACCAGCCUGGACUGAGGAUCUCGCUUCGGCUAGGAUGCUGGCGUAAUGGCUGUAAGCGGCCCGUCUUGAAACACGGACCAAGGAGUCUAACAUCUAUGCGAGUGUUUGGGUGUCAAACCCAUGCGCGUAAUGAAAGUGAACGGAGGUGGGAACCCUCACGGGUGCACCAUCGACCGAUCCUGAUGUCUUCGGAUGGAUUUGAGUAAGAGCAUAGCUGUUGGGACCCGAAAGAUGGUGAACUAUGCCUGAAUAGGGUGAAGCCAGAGGAAACUCUGGUGGAGGCUCGCAGCGGUUCUGACGUGCAAAUCGAUCGUCAAAUUUGGGUAUAGGGGCGAAAGACUAAUCGAACCAU
rnacentral:rRNA from 1 species